rnacentral:pre_miRNA from 14 species
UCCCGACUCGCCAGUUAAGUGAAUGCUUUGCCACAGUCUUAGACAUUGUAAGCUGGGCUAAGGUUCGCUUAGGCUGGAGGGGAGGGCGCGC